AGGUGAAAUUCUUGGAUCGUCGCAAGACGCACUAGAGCGAAAGCAUUUGCCAAGUAUGUCUUAAUUGAUCAAGAACGAAAGUUAGAGGCCCGAAGGCGAUCAGAUACCGCCCUAGUUCUAACCAUAAACGAUGCCAGCCAGCGAUCCGCCGACGUUCCUCCGAUGACUCGGCGGGGAGCUUUCCCGGGAAACCAAAGCUUUUGGGUUCCGGGGGGAGUAUGGUCGCAAGGCUGAAACUUAAAGGAAUUGACGGAAGGGCACCACCAGGAAUGGGGCCUGCGGUUCAAUUUGACUCAACACGGGAAACCUCACCAGGCCCGGACAUUGGAAGGAUUGACAGAUCGAUAGCUCUUUCUCGAUUCAGUGGGUAGUGGUGCAUGGCCGUUCUUAGUUGGUGGAGCGAUUUGUCUGGUUAAUUCCGUUAACGAACGAGACCUCAGCCUGCUAACUAG
rnacentral:rRNA from 1 species